GAGCGAACAGACGAGGAGCUUGCUCCUCUGACGUUAGCGGCGGACGGGUGAGUAACACGUGGAUAACCUACCUAUAAGACUGGGAUAACUUCGGGAAACCGGAGCUAAUACCGGAUAAUAUAUUGAACCGCAUGGUUCAAUAGUGAAAGACGGUUUUGCUGUCACUUAUAGAUGGAUCCGCGCCGCAUUAGCUAGUUGGUAAGGUAACGGCUUACCAAGGCAACGAUGCGUAGCCGACCUGAGAGGGUGAUCGGCCACACUGGAACUGAGACACGGUCCAGACUCCUACGGGAGGCAGCAGUAGGGAAUCUUCCGCAAUGGGCGAAAGCCUGACGGAGCAACGCCGCGUGAGUGAUGAAGGUCUUCGGAUCGUAAAACUCUGUUAUUAGGGAAGAACAAAUGUGUAAGUAACUAUGCACGUCUUGACGGUACCUAAUCAGAAAGCCACGGCUAACUACGUGCCAGCAGCCGCGGUAAUACGUAGGUGGCAAGCGUUAUCNGGAAUUAUUGGGCGUAAAGCGCGCGUAGGCGGUUUUUUAAGUCUGAUGUGAAAGCCCACGGCUCAACCGUGGAGGGUCAUUGGAAACUGGAAAACUUGAGUGCAGAAGAGGAAAGUGGAAUUCCAUGUGUAGCGGUGAAAUGCGCAGAGAUAUGGAGGAACACCAGUGGCGAAGGCGACUUUCUGGUCUGUAACUGACGCUGAUGUGCGAAAGCGUGGGGAUCAAACAGGAUUAGAUACCCUGGUAGUCCACGCCGUAAACGAUGAGUGCUAAGUGUUAGGGGGUUUCCGCCCCUUAGUGCUGCAGCUAACGCAUUAAGCACUCCGCCUNGGNGUACGACCGCAAGGUUGAAACUCAAA
rnacentral:rRNA from 1 species